rnacentral:rRNA from 1 species
AGAGUUUGAUCAUGGCUCAGAUUGAACGCUGGCGGCAGGCCUAACACAUGCAAGUCGAGCGGUAGAGAGAAGCUUGCUUCUCUUGAGAGCGGCGGACGGGUGAGUAAUGCCUAGGAAUCUGCCUGGUAGUGGGGGAUAACGUUCGGAAACGAACGCUAAUACCGCAUACGUCCUACGGGAGAAAGCAGGGGACCUUCGGGCCUUGCGCUAUCAGAUGAGCCUAGGUCGGAUUAGCUAGUUGGUGAGGUAAUGGCUCACCAAGGCGACGAUCCGUAACUGGUCUGAGAGGAUGAUCAGUCACACUGGAACUGAGACACGGUCCAGACUCCUACGGGAGGCAGCAGUGGGGAAUUUUGGACAAUGAGGGCAACCCUGAUCCAGCCAUGCCGCGUGAGUGAAGAAGGCCUUCGGGUUGUAAAGCUCUUUCGGCCGGGAAGAAAUCGCGCCUUUUAAUAGAGGGUGUGGAUGACGGUACCGGACUAAGAAGCACCGGCUAACUACGUGCCAGCAGCCGCGGUAA